rnacentral:rRNA from 1 species
UACGGAGGAUGCAAGCGUUAUCCGGAAUGAUUGGGCGUAAAGGGUCCGCAGGUGGCAGUGUAAGUCUGCUGUCAAAGAAUGAGGCUUAACCUUAUCAAGGCAGUGGAAACUACACAGCUAGAGUACGGUCGGGGUAGAAGGAAUUCCUGGUGUAGCGGUGAAAUGCGUAGAGAUCAGGAAGAACAUCGGUGGCGAAAGCGCUCUACUGGACCGCAACUGACACUCAGGGACGAAAGCUAGGGGAGCGAAUGGG